AAGUCGUAACAAGGUUUCCGUAGGUGAACCUGCGGAAGGAUCAUUACAUUCAGUAGCUUGCUACUGUUAGGGGGGUCCAUUAGUCUGUAUAGUAUCACUACUGAUGAGCAGCACGACUCCCUGUCUAUACCCUUGUCUUUUGCGCACUCAUGUUUCCUCGGCGGCUUGACACCCGCCGGCUGGAUCAAUCUAUAACCUUUUUAAUUUUCAAUCAGCGUCUGAAAAACCUAAUAAUUACAACUUUCAACAACGGAUCUCUUGGUUCUG
rnacentral:misc_RNA from 1 species